CUAAGGAUGGUUCUUCAGAAGCUUGCUUCUAUCGAACCGUUUUAGAAACAUCAGUGGCCAACAGAUCGCCAGAUCGUUGAGCUGCAUUGGCGGGAUUUCGCCGUCUACGUUUCUCUUUCUUCGCGGACGAACACGCGCUGGGGCUGCAAGCUUGCAGAAUCCCUGGUCCUUAACAGGAUAUGCGUUAGGGGCUUGUAGCUCAGUUGGUUAGAGCGCGCGCUUGAUAAGCGUGAGGUCGGAAGUUCAAGUCUUCCCAGGCCCACCACUUUCAUCGAGUGAGCAUUCGUCUUCUGGUUACGGGGCCAUAGCUCAGCUGGGAGAGCGCGUGCUUUGCAAGCAUGAGGUCGUCGGUUCGAUCCCGUCUGGCUCCACCAGAUGGUUUGAUCACCGAGAUCUUGUACCGUCGUCCGCGAAACAUCACUUCGCACUUACUAGUCUGGAUAGACAGUAAGCUGCGUGAUUUCUGACAUCGUAAAGAGGAGAUCGAUCCGAGUUGGAUCGUGCGGCAAGCAAUUGCCACGCGAGACUUCAUUAUCUCCGGAUCAUUUCGGCGCUCGUGCGUCUUUCAAAGUAGCUCACAAGGCUGCGCUUGAGAGACAAGCGAGUUGUAAAUGAUCCUUUUAGCGAAGCUUGACCGCCUCGCUAUCGGAACGAUCUUACGAAGCAAGCUGGUCUUUCUAAUCAUUGUCCGGCUGCAGAUAGCGUUCAUCGAGGGCGCGUGCCGCAAGGUAGUUCUGCAGACAACAUUCUGCCGAGUGUGUGGACAUUGAUAAUGAGAGC
rnacentral:tRNA from 1 species